AAAUUGGACCACAAAAACAGUCAGGAGAUCUAGUCAUUCUUUUAGCCUGUUUUGACUCUCAAGAAUCUCACCAUGGUAAAUCUAGUGCAGGGAAGGAGGCGGGUGAAGGAUGGGAAUUAGAAACCACAAGAGCAAAGGCAUUGCCAGAGGCAUUCAGAUUAGUACAUGACCCAUACAGAGGAGCUGCAUGUGCUGAGGCGUCUUCCAACAAAGCAGUUUUGACCUUGGGGGGCGGAAAGGGUGACAGCCUCCAAAGCAAGUGAACUGGUGAAAAACAGCUCCCUGGAGGUCAGCCUGAAGCCUCCUUGCUACGAUUCCCAAGAAGUAGCAGCACAUCUCUUUUCUCCACGAGGAAUGCAGAGGGUGGAGCGGACUGCUAAGGCUUCGUGCAACACAAUGGGCUAACGUGGUCAGUGCUCUAGAAAGGGCAGCACUGACUGAGCGAUUCCUAUUGACUGACCGAUUGAUCAAUCAAUAUGAGGAGCGAUAUGCUGCUUUUCUAAACAAGGCACUGGCAGUGGUUUUAACCCAAUAUCCAUCAAUUCCAGUAUCACACCAUUCUAGCUAGGUAACAACACCAAAUCCAGCACCAAACAAUUCCUAUUAGACCUACACAAUAGGAACUGGGUAGAAGUUUUUAAGGAGAAAAGCAGAAGAGAAAUGGCUGUUUUAAUAAUCCGGCCCAUAUCUUUAACCAAGAGCAGACUAGAAUAAUAAGUAUCACAUAAAAGCAAACAGGGAAGGAUCCAAACUUCCACAGCUCCCUUGGGAAAGAGUUCUAUAAGCUGCUACUGAAAAGCCUUGUCUCUGUUAACUGCUAGUCUUCUGUGCCAAUCUUAACAAGACCAAACACGCCAGGGCCAUUCUUAUCUGCACUGCAGUUGCUGUUGAUAUGUGCUGACAGGUCAUCUCCAACUUAGGGCAACCCUAUGAAUGAAAACAUCCUCUCCGUAACAUCUCUGCUUGUCCUCCGUCAAUGCCGAUAAACCAUACCUUGCAUGCAGAGGUUCCUAGGACUACCGUUACAGAAAGGACUAGGAAGGGAUUUUGCCUAAAAUCCUGAAAACUAGUCUUGUUGACAAGACUGGGACGGAGGGACUGGAUGUCUGACUCACUCCAGCAGAGCUUCUUAAGAAGGGUUGGUCUCUCCAGGUGGGAAAGCUGAACUGAGAUGGAAACACAGAAAGAGUCAGAAGGGGCCAUUUAGUCUGAUCCCCAGCUCCAGCCGGCUCUACUCAUGACAUGCCUACCAUGUGGAUGAGAGAAACAGAAACAGCAAAAGCUGACAGGAAGAAAAUGGAUGCAUUCAAAACAUGUUGCUGGAGGAGAGCUUUGCAAAUACCCUGGACAGCCAGAAAGAUGGACAAGUAGAUCCCAGAUCUAAUCAAGCCAGAAUUGUACCUGGAAGCAAAAUGACAAAAUUGAAUCUGUUGUAAUUUGUGUGCAUCCUUAGAAGGCGAGCCACCCUGGAAAAAACCAACAUGCUAGGCAAAGUCAAAGGCAGAAGAAAAGGAAGACCAAAAAUACGAGAUAGAUUGAGUCUAUAAAGGAAGCCACAGCCCUGGAUUGUCAAGAACAGAGCAGGGCUGGGAAAAACAGGACAUUUGGGAAGGCCUUCAUCCAUAAGGCCAUGAUACGUUGAAGCUACUUGAGACUGCACUUCGAAGGUUGCAUAUUUGAAAAAAACUUGCACCGUUUGUCCUUGACAUGCUAGGUAUCAACAUACAGAUAGCUUCUUGUCCUUGUUCUUGUUGUCUUAAAAAGGGGUGGUAUUAAAAAAAGUGAUUCCUUCUUCUGUCAUCUGAAAUGGUACAGUCCCAACAAUGACCCCUCUCCAGAAUUCUGCUUAAUGAGUGGCUUAGCCUUCUUCUUGGUACCCUCUGAUAUUGUUGAACUGUAGCUCCUGUUUGGGCUUAUGGGGCUUGUAGCCCAAGAAAUUUGGAGGGCAUCGACUUGGAGAAGGUGGUCUUCAGGGUGGUGUAAUAGUUAGAGUUUCGGGCUGGGCCUUGGAGGCCUGAUCUGGAUUUCCAUCCCCACUUGGUGAUGAAGUUUGGCAAAUCACUGACUCUCAGCCUAUCCUACCUCAGAACAGGGGAGCUGUGAAGGUAACAGAGAGAAGUAAAGAUGAGGCCGGUGGUCUUGGGCUUGUUGGAGGAACGGAGGGGCAUACAGGCCACGGCCAAGGCAAGUUCGCAGCACCACUGUUGCCAUUUUCUUCCAUGAAUCUUGCAGUUCUCUGCAGUCUUUGACAGGCAUUUUAAAAACAGUGUUAUUUUAAUACACCCACCCUGAAAAAAAAACCCUAAAAGGAAGCGGUUAAUCUCCGCUUCCUUACAUUAAGGCAGAUGUGCUGCUAUUUAUUUAUGUUUGUUUCCUGUAACAUUGCCAACUGUACUUUGCAACCCAUUCCCUUUCCAAUUGCAGGUAAUGACUAAACUUGUUAAAUUUUCCUGUCAAAUUUGUGAACAAGGCAAUGUACUGUUUUUGGCUGCUGAAAUGGUGCAUGAGUGCUCCGGAGAUUCUAGUUAACGCACAGACACGAUUCGCCUUGCUCAGGGGCUCUUGUGCGGGUAGCGCUUAAGCAGUACUGGGACUCUCCUGGGCUUUGUUUUGGUGUCUCCUAGUGAUGGCAGGCCACGUUAAAAUCACAUGCAGCACGCAAACACUGCCUGUCCUUUUCAUCAACUCUGUAAGGUCCAAAUCUAGACGUAUGCUGGGAGGAGCCAACAAGAAUGCUUUGAAAUCCCGUGAACAAGUCCAUUCACUAUCAUGAUCUACUUUGACUUCCUAAUUCAAGCCAAUGUCACCCUGACUGGCAUUUUCCACACAGUGGCCGCAGACUCCAGCUUUGCAUGAGCCGAUUCCUUCUAGGCCUCGGGCUUUCUGCUUAGGCUCUGCACCUCUUGGGCUCCCUAGGAAAACUGCUAGUCCAGAGCCAUGAGGCAGAAGAACCAGCCAAUGCUCUGUGCGCUUCACAAGGUCCAGCUUGCAUUCCUGUAGGCCAGCCUGAGAACCAAAUGCGUCUCAAAAAGAUCUGGGGGAUGCUUGGGGACACGGGUGGUACCAAAUCCGAUUCUUACUGAUUUUGACCUCUUCGGAAAUAAGCAGGAUAAGACGCCACCUAUCUGAUAGCCAGUGUGGUUUAGCGGUUAACAGUGCCUGGUCUGGGACUCAGAAGAUCCGGGUUCUAGACCCUGCUCAGCCUUGUAGCUCACUAGGUGACUUUUGGCCAGUACAGGACUUUGGAGGUGGGUAUUAAAGUUAGCCUGUCUUAGCUGUUUAAGUUGCUAAACUUAGGUUUAAAAUUUGAAAUGAAAUGUUAUGAUCUUGUUAUUGUGAUUUUACAUUGCAUUUUAUUGUAUUUUAGCUACUGGGUGAUGUAGAAAUAAAAUUAACAGUGCUAAUACUACAAAAACUGUAUUGAACACAUAACGAUGCCUGAAAUCCUGUACAAAUGUAUCUGUGAGUAAAUACUCCAGGAGUGAAUUUGGAGUAACCAUUCUUAGCAUUGCAUGGUGUGAUCCCAUCGUGUGGUCUGAGAUAAUACAUGCAGGGAAGGGCCCUGACUCAGCAAAACAGAAAACCUAGUCUGAGUGCAAAAGGUUCGAGGUUCAAUCCUGGCAUUUCCAGGCAGUGCUAAGAAAGUGGCCUGUCUGAGACCCUGGAGAGGUGCUGCCAGUCAGUGCUCACACUACUGGGCUGGAUGGACCAUUCGUCUGACUUGGGUCAGCUUCCUGAGCUGCUCUGAUGCACCAGCAUCAUCGCUCACCCCAAACUACAAAGCAAAAGUGGGCGGACCUCACAUGCCAUUGCUGGACUUUUCUUCUCUCAGAGAAGCCAUAUUUCCAUCACCACAGUAUAGGAAGAUGUGUAUUUACACUACAGUCCCAGCCGUUCCAAAAUUAUUUCACAAUCUGAAUGACGCCAAGCAAAGGUAAUUUAUGGAGCACUGAAAGGAGGCAAAACGACUUGCAUUUAGAUUUGCCACCACUUAAAUCCCGCUGCACUCUGCAGUCAUAGAAGCAAAUGUUGUUGUUUGUUAUUUGUUGUCAGGUUGUCGUUGACCUAUGACGGCCCUAUGAAUGACAGCUUUCCAAAACAUCCUGUGUAUGACAGCUCCGUUCAGCUCUUCCAAGUUCAAGGCCGUGGCUCCUUUUGCGGAAUCAGCCCAUCUCACAUUUGGUCUUUCCUUUCAUCGUCUGCCUUCGACUUUCCCUAACAUGAUUGUCUUCACCAGUGUCUCUGCACAUAUAAAACUGCAUGGCGCAUGUACCACAAAUGCAGCUCCAACCACAGACUUGGACGUGCAGAAUGCUAGGCUGAGAAUGAGCUGUUUAUUCUGACUCCCAGUUGUCACCAGAUGUGCUUGUUUCUCCUCCUCUUUCUCAUCGCAGCUGCAGCGGACUUGCCUGGCCAGCUGAGAGCCACUGAACAAGCGGGCAACGGUACCUGCUACGACUCACCACCGCUGGAUCCUGGCCAAAGUGCCAUCCCAUCCCCAUUGUAUCUAGCAGGAAGCCCCACUGAACUCGGCAGAGCAUGCUUUGAACACCUGGAUAAAAAGGCACAGAACCAAGAGCUGAAGUUGUUUUACAUUAGUACUUCUCUGUGCCCGGAAAGGUCUUGCUGCUUUCUGCCUAUCAGGCAUUUCUGUACAGAAUGGGCAUAGUGUCUGCUUACAUACAAGGACAACUUUCACCAUACUUGGUUUGUUUUAAAAAUGAAUUAUGUACAUUAUUUUUGCUUCCCA